CCUCCGGUUGUCCUGGAGCCCCUUGGACGCCAAGAAUACGAGAACAUUUCUGCGCCCCUCUCCGCCUUCCUCUUCCUUUAUCUUCGCUUCAGCUCCAGGGUAGCCUGGAAGAGUGGCUCCGAGGCUCUGCCGCUCGCGGCUUGUCGGUGAAGGGGGCCGAGGGGAGGGGCCGUCCGCGUGAGCGGGUGUCUUUGAGUGGGACCGACGAGAGGGAGGGACGCAGCGGGAGGUGGCUGGGAGGCGUGGCCGCCAAGUUUCUGAUGAAAACUCACCCAAGACCCCGGUUGUUACUGGGCUGAUGGAAGUGGCAGACGCAAUGGGUGCGCAGAGACAAUGAUGCUUAGUACUAUAUAAUGUGUGUGUAUAGAGGACCUCGGCAGCCUGAAAGCCAUUUUCUUCCUCUUUUAGAUUUAUGCAUUAAACUGGGCUCCGCUACCCUCGACCUCUGCUGUCUGGUAGACUUUCCUCCUGUUUCUGAGGCGGUGUCUGGCAUGAAGAGUCGUUAUUUAAUAGUUUUCAUUAAUGGCAGGCCCCGUGCUUUACUCUUCUCACUCCUUUAUUGAAAUGACAGUGAAAAUCCAAGUAGUAAAAGCACUGCUACAGAGGCUGAAAAAGCUCCAAGAGACCAGGGCCAUGGACUUUUAUUUUUAAAAUGAAGAACUCUUUUACUGGAAGGAACUAAAGUAUGUUGGCAUUCAAAUGAAUAUCUCCUGACAUGCAGACCUAGGGAGCAGAGCCAUAAUCUUCACCUUGGUGUCGGAACAGACUGCAAAGCUCCCCUUUUCUCAAAGCAGUCCCCACAUUCGGGUUUGCUUGGUUGUUUUGUUUGGUUUCUAGCCUGAUUUUUUUUUUCUUUUUUGGCAGGGUGCAGCAGAACUUCCCAGGUAGCUGAGGAGUUUAUGAAAUCUUAUUUGGUACUCCUUUCACUAUUGCUUGUGUUACAGGGCAGGGUAAGGUUGUGCAUACAUUUCCUAAAUGCCCUGUGUACCUAAACAGCACACUGCAGCUUAACUACUGAAAGUCAAGAGAAACAGGUUUGAGCAAUUGGAAACUGAAAUAUGAAUCUAUGUUGAUGAGAGAAGAAAGGAAUUGAAAGAGGCAUAAAUCUUAUCUUCUCGCAACCCUAGAAGAUCAGCUUCUCGUGAAGAAAGGGAUUAUACUUCUGUAAUUAACUGCUUUGCAGCUCCUGGUGAUGGCUCAGAGCUGAAUAAUAGCACCCGGCCCAGUUGGAUAAAAGGCUGGCGGGCAGGCAGCGCAGUGGCUCGUCACAAACAAUGGUCUCAGGGCUUGACAUCCUUCCCCCGUGCCCAGCUCUCGGAGAGUCAAACCAGGAGAUAUUUGUCCCCUGCCUAUCAGCAUUCACAGCAGAGAAUGAAAUUCCAGAAUAUCUCAAAGAGACCUGUAGCUGCAGUGAGGUACCUUGAAGAGCCAAGCCAGAUUCUACACCCCUGUGUUCCAGCCAGUGCCCGAACCUGUUAGGUGCUUCUUAAAGGCUUUUUGGAGGUGACUGCUGCCCAGCAGCUGUGAGACCACAGGAAAGCGGCCCGAUUUCUCUGAUCUUCAGUGUUACCAUCACAAAAUGCAGGGGUUCUUGUAGAAUUCCUUUGAGGAAGAAAUCGGAUCAGGAGUAUACACAAAUUACUUAUGACAGUGCCUGGCACAUGGCAGGUGAUCAAUAAAUGGUAGCUAUUAUUAUUA